CAACAUGAGUUAUUUACUUAUAUAAUGUUCUUUAAUCAUUAUAGAUUAAAUUCUACAAAUGGCAUCUUCACUAUCAUUGCGAGAAAUUUUAGAUUCCAACAAGUUGAUCGGUCUCAAUUAUAUGGAUUGGUUGAGAAAUUUAAAAAUAAUACUAACUCAGGAGAAGCUCUUCUAUAUUCUCGAUAUCUCCGAACCACAAGAGGUUGGGGAUGAUGCCACAG
rnacentral:lncRNA from 1 species